GACGAACGCUGGCGGCGUGCCUAAUACAUGCAAGUAGAACGCUGAAGGAGGAGCUUGCUUCUCUGGAUGAGUUGCGAACGGGUGAGUAACGCGUAGGUAACCUGCCUUGUAUCGGGGGAUAACUAUUGGAAACGAUAGCUAAUACCGCAUAAGAGUAGAUGUUGCAUUACAUUUGCUUAAAAUGUGCAAUUUCAUCACUACCAGAUGGACCUGCGUUGUAUUAGCUAGGUGGUGGGGUAACGGCUCAACAAGGCGACGGUACAUAGGCGACCUGAGAGGGGGAUCCGCCACAAUGGGAAUGAGACAAGGCCCAGACUCCUACGGGAGGGAGCAGGAGGGAAUCUUCGGCAAUGGAGGGAAGGCUGAACGAGCAACGCCGCGUGAGUGAAGAAGGUUCUCGGAUCGUAAAGGUCUGUUGUAAGAGAAGAAAGAGUGUGAGAGUGGAAAGUUCACACUGUGACGGUAUCUUAACAGAAAGGGACGGCUAACUACGUG
rnacentral:rRNA from 1 species